CAAUCAUCUUGGUUUCCCCAGGACUGAAGGCGUUCCUGAGAUGUGGGACUUCAGUGCUACAACUAGGAAAGUCUCAGAACCGCAAGGAACACCACUGCUUCUCUAUGUGUCUGAUUCUCUUCCAGAAGCAAUGCUUCUCUUAGUGCUAUCUUCACUUACAUUGAAGACCCUCCAGGGAAUCAAUACCACACACACGGGCUCUCCUAGGGAACUCUCUUGAAGGAUGAGCUGCUUCCAGCAAGGGUAAGUGGGGAAAUUUCAACAAAAGCACUCAUCGUGAAAAUGUAUGUAAUUGUGUAGCUAAGACCAAAACAAGGGUGGGGACAUGAUCAAAUAAUAGUAUGUAAACAUCAUGUAUUCUAGCCAAGAGGGAAGAAUAGUAGAAGGGAGAGAGAAGGAACAAUUGUCAUGUUCGUUUUUCAUUCUUUUGUAUUAUUCAUUAUACCAAUGAUAUUGAUAUAUAUCGGGUAUAAGUCCUAUCAUACCACUUAAAAUGGACAGAACAGACAGUAAAAAGCUAAAAAAAAAAAGAACCAAAGUAUUACAAAAGGCAUAAAUCUAGAAGUAUCCAAACAUUCCUGCAUCAAAACAACUAUGGCAAAAUAUCCUGAUCCAAUAUUAUGGCUGCUACAGACUGGAUGUUUGUGUCUCUCCAAAAUUCAUAUGUUGAAACCUCUUCCUCUAAUAGGAUGGUAUUAGGAAGUGGGGCCUUUGGAGGUGAUUAGGCCAUGAGGAUAGAGCCCUCAUAAAUACUAUUCAUUCCCUUAUAAGAGGCUCCAGAGAGCUCCCUCCUCCCUGCCGUCAUGUGAGGAGAGAGCAAAAAACAGCCAUCUGGCAUCUUUAGCUUGGACUUCCCCCUACAGAACUGUGAGAAAUAAAUUUCUGUUGUUUAUAAGCCACCCAGUCUAUGGUAUUCUUGGUAUAGCAGCCUGAAUGGACUAAGACAAUGGCUCUGGAAAUUACUCAGUUCAGCGAUUUGGAGCAGAGGAUAAGGAAAUGUUCACACACCAGAAUCUGAUGAGGGGAAAGUGUGUGUCUAGAAAGAAAAUAGUAGUGCUUUCUCUCAUUGCUUUGAUUUGGUUUUAGUAAUAUGAUUUCUUCUAUUUUGAAUUUUAUAAACAUUUCAAUAGUGUAUGAGAUUUUGUGAUGAUACAAAGAUAAAAUGGGCCCAAAGGAGUUAAGAAGCACUAAUCUAAGGGAGUUUCCAUAUUUGGGGGAAAGGUGCAGCCACCUGAAAUCGAAUCUCUUCAUACAGACCUUAAAUUCAACAGGAGCACAAGAAAACCAGCCAUGGUUCAUGACUUCAGCAUUAGAAGAGAAAGAAUACCUCAAACUUCAAAUUACCAAUAAGUAGAGAAAUGAACUCCAUAUCCCCAGAGAGUUCCUAUCACUUGUCACUGUAAGCUGGGUACAGAGUGUAGGAGAGAGGAGACUUAUAAUCUCCAGGGAAAAGAGUAAAGAGACAUGGAAAGAAACUAAGGAGAAAACUUAGGAUCUUGCAGAAAUGACAUAUAAAUGUGGCAUGAUGGCUCUGCUCCCCUUACUGUCCACUGAAGACAUUUCACUUCAGUGUACUGACAGCUGAGGGCUGAGGACAUUCUUGAACUAGGAACUCGGUUACAAAAUGCCCAGGAAAAUAAAGAAAAAUCAACCUAACUCCAUAAAGAGUUGCUAUUAGAAGAACACAGAAAAUAAGAAUCACAACAGUUGAACUGGUAAAAAUUCUCCACCCCAAAUCAAUCACAAAGCGGAAGAAAACUGUACAGCAACACUGCAAACUAAAGUAAUUAUUUUCAAACAACUAGAGAUGUUUUGGAAAACACCAAAAUCAUACAUUUAAAAAGUAAGGCUGUAAAUGGGCACAAAAUAGGAAGAAAUUGCAAUAAGAGUUGAUUGUCUUAGGGAAAUAAAUUGAAGAAAAAUACAAAAACUUUUUGAAAAUGAAGAAUAAAUACAAAGUGCUCAAAAGAAAGUAGAUUUGGAUGUUAUAUGAUUUCAACAUUGGAGGAGGGCAGAUAAAUAAUCAAGAGAAUGAAAAUAAAAUUAAGAAAGGUGUAACCAGAGUUCAAGACAAUGUGAUUGAAAUGGAAUACAGGCAAAUAAGGUCCAACAUACAUACAGUAGCAGCUCCUGAAGAAGAAAAACAAAGCAAUGAAACAUAACUACACUUCAAGAAAACUCUCCAGAAAUAAGAAAAAAUGUAAAUCAAUAUUUGAAAAGUCUCACUAUAUAUCUAGGAAAAUUUAUCUAGAAAGAGAAAUUUUGAGACAGUUUCUAGCAAACCAUGAGAUUUUAAAGAAACACACACACGCACGUGCACACACACACACACAAUCCUCAGUGCCUGUAUUAAUAAUAACAUACCUCUAACUGGUGGCUUAAAACAAGAUAAAUUUAUUUUUCUACAGUACUGGAGUCCAGAAAUCCAAAAUCCAGAUGUCAGCAUGGCCACGUUCCCUCUGAAGGCUGUAAGAGAGAAUCCUCUAUGCUUUCUUCAGCCUCUGGUGACUCCAGGUGUUUCUUGGCUUGUGGUCACAUCACUCCAAUCUCUCUUCUGUCUUCAUGUGGCCUUCUCCUCUUUAUCCCUGUACACUUAUUCCAUUGCCUCUCAAAUUUAUGUCCCUGUCCUUUUCUCUUAUAAGAACACUUGUCAUUAAAUUUAGGGACCAUUUGGGUAAUCUAGAAUGAUCUAAUAUCAAAAUUCUUAAUUACAUCUGCAAAGACCGUUUUUCCAAAUAAGGUAACAUUCACAUGUUCUGGGGACUUAGAUGUAUCUUUUUAGAGUCGCUAUUCAAUUGACUACAGGGCCUCCUAACUAAAUGACCAAAUUCCUUAAAAGGGUAAGAAUAUUAAAGGGGACAUCAGACUUCUCAUGAGCAACUUAUAAAGUCAGUCAAUAAAGGGCAGCAUUCAUAAGAGGCUCAAGAACAAAGAGUAUGAGCCAAAGAUUUUGUAUCUAGCCAAGCUGUCCUUCAAAUACCAAGGUUACAGGAAAUGGUUUUAACAUGCAGUAACUCAGGGAACACUGUACACGGGCACUGUAGGGCUCUUCUAGAAGAUGAGCUUUAUCUACCCAAGAGAUAACUGGAAAACUUUAGCAAAAGGACUGGUGGUAAAAAUGUAUUUUAUGAUGUAGUUUAUUUAUACUAUUAUAUUAAUAUUAAUUAAUUAUUAUAUUAUCUAUGUUAUAAUAUAUUUAAUUGCAUAGCUAAGACUAAAACAAGGAUGAGGAUAUGGAAUGACAAAUAGUAUCUCUAUAUUUUAUGUUUUGGAAAAGUAAAAAUAAAACAACCAAAAAAAGACAGGGAAGGGAGAGAAACAGGAAGGGAGAACAGUAAAACUGACAGUUGUAUGGUUAAUGAGUGAAGAAGGACAUACCAGAGGGCAAAGUCUCAGUAUGAAAAAAAAAAAAAAAGGAGAUUAAGGGCACCAUAAAUGGAACAAAUACAAAGACAGCCACUGGAACAAACAUACAAACAUUUGGCAAAAAUGAUGAAAAAAAUAAUUAGAAAAAAAUAGCAAAGAAAAUAUGCCCAAUUAAGAAGGAAAUACAGUAAAUACAACAUGCCUAAUUAUAACAUAAUGUGAUAGCUUUGAGACUAAACAUGUAAGUCAUGUCAGGUAAUGGAAUGGACUUUGCUGGUUUCUUCUCCUUUCUUGCUAUAGGGACAAAUGAGCCAAUUCUCAAAUUAGGUCACAAGGCAAAAGCAGAUCCCAUAUUAUAUUUAAUAGACACACCCCAAACACAGUGUUUCAAAAGAACCCAAAUAAAGAAAUGGCCAAAAAUAUACCAGAAAAAUAAAAACAAUAAGAAGACAGGGUAGUGACUCAUACCAGUUAAAGUGAAUUCAGGCCAAAAAGCUUUAAAGGAGACAAAAAAUACACUUACGGCUGAUCACCACAAUUCACAAUGAAGAGAAAUUACAAAUAUCUAUGCACCAGAUAAUACAGCAACCACCAACAUAAAGCAGAAAUUACAUGAGAUGAGAACUGAAGACAGAAAAUAAAGAUUUUAACACAACGCACUCAGCACGACAGGUCUAACAGAAGGGAAAUAAAGAUAUAAAUGUUUCGCACCACUUAAUAAAUAAUAAGGUAGAACUUGUGUAUAUAUUUUAUACUGUGCCCUCAUAAUAGAGAUUCUAUCUUCUUUUCAAGUGUAAAGAACAUGGAUCGUUUUGAGAACUUGAUCACAUACUCAUAGUUACAGCCACGUUCAAUGAACCCGGGUAACUUUUAUCAUAUGAGAUGCAUGGGCAGUGAAAACAGUUCUUACUUUAACAUGUAUCCCUGACCCUUUCCCAACACAGCACAACGAAUACCACCUUUUGAAGGACAGCAUGUGGGAUGCUUAAAAUACAAAAUGCUUUCAGACACCCGUGUCUACGGUCGAUGACUCCUCCAAGUCUCCGGACCUCCCAAGAGUUGUCGCUUGGGCAGGCCGCUUGGUGGGCAGGUCGCUUGGUAGGCCGGCCAGUUGUGCUGUGUGGUCUGCGCCUUGGCCUGUGAGGUGUAGGGCGUCAUCCACGUUGCCGUUCGCCAAGGUCAGUGGCAAACACCAGAAACUAAGCACUAGUCGUGCGUGUAAUACGGGCAGGAUGCCCAAGUGGAGUGUGGCCCCCACAGCACGUAGACCAAGUACCCUGAACGCUCUUGCUGCAUGGUUUUGUCAUAUAUCGUAUGGUCUGAAUCCACAACUAUUUAUUUUGAUAUUUAGUAAUUCCUUCUUUUCUUUUAUAAUGAACAAUUUGGGGAGCAAGAUGUGUUUUACAAAGUAUGUGCUUAAUGAAAAAAAUAUUACUAUCUUUCUGAUUCUCAAGGAAGUUACGAUGAAAUGUAAUUUACACCGAAUUUCUGUUGACAUUUACCAUCCAGCCAGGGACUGACCACAAGAAAACCUGUGGACGAAGUCUGCUCAGGAACAAUCAGCAUCAACGUCAAAAGUUAGUCGUUAUUUUGAGAAGACUGUGCUUGAAGAUGGCAAGCUAACACGACUAGAUACGAAAGAUGUGUUUCUGUAUCUCACUGUGACAGUGCGGACUUUUUAUUUAGAUCAAAGGCCUGUUUUCCUAAAUGAAUUUUUUUCAUUUUCAACAGUGGUGCCCCUGGGAAGGGCCUUCGGUUCGGGGAGGAUGGCACUGCUGUUCAGCCUCGGCCGUGUCAAUUGCCAGAAAAUUCCAUGACUUCCAAGUGUGCCACGCAGAGACAGUUGGUAAUGGAAGAGGAGUCCUUUUCUCGUAGAAGAAAUCAACCCAAAUAGAUAAGAUAGAUCUGAAAGCUUGCAUCGAAUGUGGAGGAUUUUGUGGCCAGAAAUGAGAGGAAAGGGUUUCUAGCCAGCCCAGGAGCGAUGUUGCACUUUCCUGUCCAGCAACCAAGUGCUGCUAAGGCGGGAGGAGCAGAGGCCUGUGGUCCUGUGUGCUGUCUGUCUGUGUGUUGACACGGCCGCGCGUGCACCAGCAGGGGCGCGUGGCUGCAGGGGACAGAGGCAGGGCACUCAUUCUCGCCCUGCAACUGGCUUUCAGGGAGAAGCGCUGAGCCCCCACAAGGUGACUCUUUUUUCAGGAUACCUGCGUCUUGGCCUGGUUUGGCUUUGCCCUCCCGUGUAGGUUCUUGUCACGUAUUUCCAGACUGGGGGGCUUACUCGGCCUUCUAAAAGCUGGGAAUUUUUCCAGAAGCAGCAAGGCAAAGCUCUUACUGCUAAAACAGGAAGGGAGGAGUUUUGCCGUACGAGAGCUUGUACCCACGAUUCAAAGUUUUGGCUUUAUGAUUUUAUUCAAAAAGAAACAAAAUACACCCCAAACAAAAAUAACCAUACACGUGAACACACAAAACUGCAGGGUACUUUUCCAGGAUUAAUUCCUAAUUCCUGUUAUCACCAGUGAGUUGGUGUUUCACAAGAGCUAAAUCAAGUGAGGUUCAAGGCCCCAGAAAAGGGAGCCUCCAUGUUUUAGCAGAGCCAUGAAAAUACAUAUUGGCCCACGAGCCUUCCAGGAAACCAGGUCCGAUCUGAAAGGAAUUAGUCUUAUGGCAUUUCAGGCAGGAAGUUUAGAAUAAACGUUAACUAUUGUCUUCUUCUUCCUUUUUAGAUUGGUUUUCCCUCCAAACUGUGAUGUGAAUUCUGUUAUCUCCAAGGUUGGAGCCGAAGGGGGAGUGGGAUUACAGAAAGUGUAGAGUCUCUCUCGACAGACCCCAAGAAGACCGAGCUGCAGGAGAGCCACUGUGCCGAUCUCCAGACAGAGCUAACGUAGCCCCCACAGGUUCCAAAUGUGAAAUGAUGGGCAAAGUCUUGGAGCUCAAGAGAAGUGACUUUUGGCUCCAUGAAAUUAUGUCGCCUAUUGUAUGGUGGAUGGGUGCUAGACUUUAAGGGACUUUGGCACAUGAACAAUGUGGGUUAAGAAAGGGCUAUGUGUGUAAACAAAUAGGCAAUCUCCAAAUACAUAUAAAAACCCAUUCUCUUCUCUACUCUCAAGGAUUCCUAAAAUGCUUUGGUGGAAUAGGAACUUCAAAGUGAUGCCAAGGCCCUUCGGCUUCUCAGAUGAGUCGUUGUACAAUCAUGCUGGGAAACUUCAAGUCUAUUAUUCAGAGAAGCGAUAGAGAGCCUGUCUUUGGAAGCAAAGACCUGGGUCUGAAUCUGGACUCAGCCGCUUACUACCUCUACGUUCUUGGUGAUAAAGCUAAUUCUAUCGGGACUCGCAAAAUGGAGGCCGCCCCAGUGGCCUGGCCCACUGCACAGAUUGAAACCUAAGUCAGUCACACUUAAGGGAAAUGCGUCACUAUCAAAGAAACCUAGCAUACACCCGUCACCCUCCAACUCAGCGUUAGCUUACCUUCGCCUCGAAAUAGGAACGUUUUGCCUUAGAAGGAAGUCCCCGACCUCCUAGCCAGUCACACUCUGUGUCUGAGUUACUGUUUCUUAUGCUCUGAACAAUCUGCUCUUGCCCAGAUUCCCUUGGGAAGAGUGCUUUACCGCUUCAGAAGCUCUGUACCCUCCAUCCAUGGGUUGUUUUCCUUUAAAUAAAGGACAUCAAACUCAUUAUUGUUUUAUUUUUGUCAUUUGAUAUUGGGAAAACCAUUUACCCUCUCCAAAUUUUAGUUUCCUCCACUGUAGCAUGGACAUGAGAACUCUUUUGUCCACAAGCUCACAGGCUAUUGUCAACAUUAAAUAAGAUACUGUG